rnacentral:rRNA from 1 species
GACGAACGCUGGCGGCGCGCUUAACACAUGCAAGUCGAGCGAGAACCAGGGCUUCGGCCCUGGGGACAGCGGCGAACGGGCGAGUAACACGUGGAUAACCUGCCCUCGACACCGGGAUAGCCCGGGGAAACCCGGAUUAAUACCGGAUGGCCCUUCCGGCUUUCGAGCCGGUCGGAAAAGGUAGCUUCGGCCUCCGGCCGAGGAGGGGUCCGCGGCGGAUUAGCUUGUUGGUGGGGUAACGGCCUACCAAGGCUCCGAUCCGUAGCUGGUCUGAGAGGACGAUCAGCCACACUGGGACUGAGACACGGCCCAGACUCCUACGGGAGGCAGCAGUGGGGAAUCUUGCGCAAUGGGCGAAAGCCUGACGCAGCGACGCCGCGUGAGGGAGGAAGGCCUUCGGGUUGUAAACCUCUUUCAGGAGGGACGAAGCUACUCGGGUGAAUAGCCCAGAGGGUGACGGUACCUCCAGAAGAAGCCCCGGCUAACUACGUGCCAGCCGCCGCAGUAAGAC